rnacentral:rRNA from 1 species
ACAAUAAGUUACUAAGGGCUUAUGGUGGAUGCCUUGGCACUAAAAGGCGAUGAAGGACGUGUUAACCUGCGAUAAGCUUCGGGGAGGUGGUAAAAACCUGAGAUCCGGAGGUGUCCGAAUGGAGCAAUCUGGUAGCUUGCAAAAGUUACCAUUAAUUAAUGAAUUCAUAGUUAAUUAAAGCGAUACGUGGUGAAGUGAAACAUCUCAGUAACCACAGGAAAAGAAAACGAAUGUGAUUCCGUGUGUAGUGGCGAGCGAAAGCGGAACAGGCCAAACCUAUCUGAGGAUAGGGGUUGUAGGGCUUGCAUUAUGGAAGUUAAAAGGAUAGAAGAAGCUGUUGGAAAGCAGCGCCAAAGAGGGUGAUAGCCCCGUAUUUGAAAUCUUUUUAAUACCUAGCAAGAAACCUGAGUAGCUCGAAAAACGUUAUUUUGAGUGAAUCUGCCCAGACCAUUGGGUAAGCCUAAAUACUAAUUAGUGACCGAUAGCGAAACAGUACCGUGAGGGAAAGGUGAAAAGAACCCAGAGAUGGGAGUGAAAUAGAUUCUGAAACCAUAUGCCUACAACGUGUCAGAGCACAUUAAUGUGUGAUGGCGUGCGUUUUGAAGUAUGAGCCGGCGAGUUAUGAUAGCAAGCGUUAGUUAACCAGGAGAUGGGGAGCUGUAGCGAAAGCGAGUUUUAAGAGAGCGUUUGUUUGUUAUCAUAGACCCGAAACGGGUUGAGCUAGUCAUGAGCAGGUUGAAGGUUGAGUAACAUUAACUGGAGGACCGAACCGACUCUCGUUGAAACGAUAGCGGAUGACUUGUGAUUAGGGGUGAAAUUCCAAUCGAAAUCCGUGAUAGCUGGUUCUCGUCGAAAUAGCUUUAAGGCUAGCGUAAGAUCACAAAUAAGUGGAGGUAAAGCUACUGAAUGUAUGAUGGCGCCACCUAGGCGUACUGAAUACAAUUAAACUCUGAAUGCCAUUUAUUUUAUUCUUGCAGUCAGACAGUGGGGGAUAAGCUUCAUUGUCAAGAGGGGAAGAGCCCAGAUCAUUAAAUAAGGUCCCCAAAAUAUACUAAGUGGAAAAGGAUGUGAAAGUGCUAAAACAGCAAGGAUGUUGGCUUAGAAGCAGCCAUCGUUUAAAGAGUGCGUAACAGCUCACUUGUCGAGUGUUUUUGCGCCGAAGAUGUAACGGGGCUAAGUAUAUUACCGAAUUUAUGGAUAAGAUAUUUUUAUCUUGUGGUAGACGAGCGUUGUAUUGGAGUUGAAGUCAAAGCGUGAGCAUUGGUGGAUCCAAUACAAGUGAGAAUGCCGGCGUGAGUAACGCUUGGGAGUGAGAAUCUCCCAAACCGAUUGACUAAGGUUUCCUGGACCAGGGUCGUCCUUCCAGGGUUAGUCUGGACCUAAGCUGAGGCUGAAGAGCGUAGGCGAUGGACAACAGGUUAAUAUUCCUGUACUUACAGUUAGACUGAUGGAGUGACAAAGAAGGUUAUCCACCCCCAUUAUUGGAUUUGGGGAUAAACCAUAAGGUGGUACAAUAGGCAAAUCCGUUGUGCAUAACACUGAGUGGUGAUGUCGAGUGAACGAGUGAUCAAGUAGCGAAGGUGGCAAUUAAUCAUGCUUUCAAGAAAAGCUGCUAGGGCUAAUUUAACUGUAACCAGUACCGAGAACGAACACACGUAGUCAAGGAGAGGAUCCUAAGGUUAGCGAGUGAACUAUAGCCAAGGAACUCUGCAAAUUAACCCCGUAAGUUAGCGAGAAGGGGUGCUUAUCUAAAAGUAAGCCGCAGUGAAGAACGAGGGGGGACUGUUUAACUAAAACACAACUCUAUGCCAAACCGUAAGGUGAUGUAUAUGGGGUGACACCUGCCCAGUGCUGGAAGGUUAAAGAAGGAGGUUAGCAAUUUAUUGCAAAGCUUUUAACUGAAGCCCCAGUGAACGGCGGCCGUAACUAUAACGGUCCUAAGGUAGCGAAAUUCCUAGUCGGGUAAAUUCCGUCCCGCUUGAAUGGUGUAACCAUCUCUUGACUGUCUCGGCUAUAGACUCGGUGAAAUCCAGGUACGGGUGAAGACACCCGUUAGGCGCAACGGGACGGAAAGACCCCGUGAAGCUUUACUGUAGCUUAAUAUUGAUCAAAACACCACCAUGUAGAGAAUAGGUAGGAGCAAUUGAUGCAAGUUCGCAAGGAUUUGUUGAUGUGAAAUGUGGAAUACUACCCUUGGUUAUGUUUUGUUCUAAUUGGUAACUGUGAUCCAGUUUCAAGACAGUGUUAGGUGGGCAGUUUGACUGGGGCGGUCGCCUCCUAAAAGGUAACGGAGGCGCACAAAGGUACCUUCAGUACGGUUGGAAAUCGUAUUUAGAGUGUAAUGGUAUAAGGGUGCUUGACUGUGAGACUUACAGGUCGAACAGGUGAGAAAUCAGGUCAUAGUGAUCCGGUGGUUCAGUAUGGAAUGGCCAUCGCUCAACGGAUAAAAGCUACUCCGGGGAUAACAGGCUGAUACUGCCCAAGAGUUCAUAUCGACGGCAGUGUUUGGCACCUCGAUGUCGACUCAUCUCAUCCUCGAGCUGAAGCAGGUUCGAAGGGUUCGGCUGUUCGCCGAUUAAAGAGAUACGUGAGUUGGGUUCAAACCGUCGUGAGACAGGUUGGUCCCUAUCUAUUGUGCCCACAGGAAGAUUGAAGAGCUUUGCUUCUAGUACGAGAGGACCGGAGCGAGGACACCGCUUAUGCUCCAGUUGUAGCGCCAGCUGCACCGCUGGGUAGUAACGUGUCUAUUAGAUAAACGCUGAAAGCAUCUAAGUGUGAAACUAUCUCAAAGAUUAAUCUUCCCAUUUCUGUUAAAGGAAAGUAAGAGCCGUUAUAGACCAUGACGUUGAUAGGUUACAGGUGUAAGCAUAGUGAUAUGUUGAGCUGAGUAAUACUAAUUGCUCGAGGACUUAUUGGUUG